rnacentral:rRNA from 1 species
UGGGGAAUAUUGGACAAUGGGCGCAAGCCUGAUCCAGCAAUGCCGCGUGUGUGAAGAAGGCCUUCGGGUUGUAAAGCACUUUUAUCAGGAGCGAAACGCUGUCGGCUAAUACCCGGCGGAACUGACGGUACCUGAGGAAUAAGCACCGGCUAACUUCGUGCCAGCAGCCGCGGUAAUGCGAAGGGUGCAAGCGUUAAUCGGAAUUACUGGGCGUAAAGCGUGCGUAGGCGGUUUCUUAAGUCUGCUGUGAAAUCCCCGGGCUCAACCUGGGAAUGGCAGUGGAUACUGGGAGGCUAGAGUGUGUCAGAGGGUGGUGGAAUUCCCGGUGUAGCGGUGAAAUGCGUAGAGAUCGGGAGGAACAUCAGUGGCGAAGGCGGCCACCUGGGACAACACUGACGCUGAGGCACGAAAGCGUGGGGNGCAAACAGGAUUAGAUACCCUGGUAGUCCACGCCCUAAACGAUGCGAACUGGAUGUUGGUCUCAACUCGGAGAUCAGUGUCGAAGCUAACGCGUUAAGUUCGCCGCCUGGGGAGUACGGUCGCAAGACUGAAACUUAAAGGAAUUGACGGGGUCAUAGCUGUUUCCUG